UGGCUCAGAACGAACGCUGGCGGCAGGCCUAACACAUGCAAGUCGAGCGGUCGUAGCAAUACGGCAGCGGCAGACGGGAGAGUAACACGUGGGAACGUGCCAUAAGGUACGGAACAACUCCGGGAAACUGGAGCUAAUUCCGUAUGUGCCCGAGAGGGGAAAGAUUUAUCGCCUUGGGAUCGGCCCGCGUCUGAUUAGCUAGUUGGUAGGGUAAUGGCCUACCAAGGCUGGGAUCAGUAGCUGGUCUGAGAGGAUGGCCAGCCACACUGGGACUGAGACACGGCCCAGGGAACCUACGGGAG
rnacentral:rRNA from 1 species